rnacentral:lncRNA from 1 species
ACUAAUCCAUUUCCAAGGUUUGUUUUAUUUUCAUACAUAAAAGUUCUACAUUCAUACAUAGAUAACAUGAAAUUAAUAUGGAGAAAUUGUUUGAAAUAAUAUUAAAAUCAUGUUGAAUACAUAAUUGUUAAUGGCUAUUAGACUUCAAAUCCAACAGGUUACAAAUAGUCCAAACACAUAUUUGUCUUAAAAAAACAUAAGUAAUUACAUUUUAAUUAGUGAAAAAAGUGAUGUUGGAAAACAGGUCCCUAAAGACCAAGACCAGGUAGCCAUGGUUGAAAACCUUUGGACUUAGGCGAACGUUUCAAAAUUGUUGUCUUGAAGCAGCCACUUUCCAUUCCAAUCAAGUCAAUUCACCUGUAACCUGCAAAGAGAAAAAACAGCUUAAUUAAAAAGCACUUUUUAGAAGCGCUUAAGAAACUGAAAAACAACUAAAUAAAUUAUUCAGUUUAAUGUUUUAUCCAAAAGGCUAACAUGAACACUCAAAAAAGCAUUUUGAAAAUGGCUUAAAACAAAACAAAUUAACAGAAAUCAAAUCCCACAUAAUCUGGGAUGAGACAAAUUAAAAAAGAAGUUCUUUUAAGACUUAAGAAAUAUUCUUCAUAAAAGAUCAAAAAAAGUUAACAGAAAGGAGGACAGAGGAGAUAACAGAGCAAUUCGUUUUUCUUCAAACCCAAACACAGAGCAAUUUUUCUAAAAAGCCUUAAGAAGUUAACAGCAUAGGCACAGAAAAAGAUAUCUCUCAAAAAAACCCAAAAUCAAGAACAACAUAAACGCGGCAAAGCUAUUUUUCAAAACCCUAAAACAACAACAACAACCGCACGACAAAGCUUUUUUUCAAAACCCUAAAAAACGAAACAGAAGAAGGAGGCUUAUCUGGAGACGGGAGGCAUCAUCGACGGCAGCUUCAUCUUCUUCUCCCUCCAUCAAAUCCGCCGGGAACACCCUCCGUUGUCUUCCACCCCUCCACCGUUCGCCGGCAAAACCAACCGCGGAACCAACCUCACUCGUACUCCCUCUGCCUCACCGCCGAUCCACCACGCUUUUGCCGUAGCCGAUGCCGAGGUUUCCACUUGCACUAUUUCCUUUUCCAUUUUUCUCACAAUUUUUUUUCAUGGAGUUUACUGUUAUUUAAAUUUUUUGAUUUGUGCUAAAAAGAACUGUUUGAGAGAGGAGGUUUGAGAUUGUUUAAAGAAAUAAACAAUCGAAAAAUGAGAAAGAAGAAAUAUCAUUCUUUUGUUAACGUUUUAUUUAGGUGGCUCUUAAUUUAUUUACUUUUUCUCUUAAAUAAAUAUAUGGCAUGUGUUUGAAUAGGGAUAUGUAAUUGUUAGAAUUUGAAACUUAAAUUAAAUAAAGAUGAGCAGAAAUCGAUGCAACCUUUCCUUUUUUUAUAUAUUUUUAUUUACUUCUUUUCUU